GAUGAAGAACGCAGCGAAAUGCGAUAAGUAGUGUGAAUUGCAGAAUUCAGCGAAUCAUCGAAUCUUUGAACGCACAUUGCGCCCUUUGGUAUUCCUUAGGGCAUGCCUGUUCGAGCGUCAUUUAAACCUUCAAGCUAAGCUUGGUGUUGGGUGACUGUCCGCUUCACGGCGGACUCGCCUCAAAAUUAUUGGCGGCCGGUACAUUGGCUUCGAGCGCAGCAGAAACGCGAACUCGGGCCCGUCGUAUUGGCUCCCAGAAGCUAUCUUCACAAUUUUGACCUCGGAUCAGGUAGGGAUACCCGCUGAACUUAAGCAUAUCAAUAAGCGGAGGA
rnacentral:misc_RNA from 1 species